UACAGAGGGUGCGAGCGUUAAUCGGAAUUACUGGGCGUAAAGCGCGCGUAGGCGGCUUUGCAAGUCGGGUGUGAAAUCCCCAGGCUUAACCUGGGAACUGCAUUCGAGACUGCAUUGCUAGAGUAUGGGAGAGGGAAGUGGAAUUUCCGGUGAGCGGUGAAAUGCGUAGAUAUCGGAAGGAACAUCAGUGGCGAAAGCGACUUCCUGGACCAAUACUGACGCUCAUGUGCGAAAGCGUGGGGAGCAAACAGG
rnacentral:rRNA from 1 species